rnacentral:ribozyme from 1 species
AUGAAUGGAUAGAUAAGAAAGACGAAAGAAAGACAAAUGGUGCAAAAAAAAUUCACGAAAUUUCGUCCCUCCUUCAGCUUCUCUUCUUUGCCGUUUUUCAUUCUCUCUUUGUCUCUCACUUCCU